rnacentral:lncRNA from 1 species
AUGCCCAAGGGCUGUAAAAUAAGAGACCACAUUGUGAGUGUGGCAGAUGGUGGUGACUGCGGAGAUCACAAUGUGAACUCAACCCAGACCAGAAUACUCAAUGACCUGCUGCUACACAGAGAGGCUGUGUGUGUGCCAGAGAGUUGUAGCUCUGAGGACGCUUCUGCAGGUAGUGAACGUGUGCCAGGAAGUGCCGCAAUACUUACAGCUCACAGACCCAAGGAAACCACAGCUUUUUCACUGUUAAAAAACAGUGUCUUCAGGUGGUAAGAAGCAAGUUUCUC